rnacentral:rRNA from 1 species
CCCCCCUUAACUUUGCGAGUCGAACCGAAAGGCCCUUCGGGGUACUCGAGUGGCGAACGGGUGAGUAACACGUGGGUGAUCUGCCCUGCACUUUGGGAUAAGCCUGGGAAACUGGGUCUAAUACCGAAUACACCCUUCUGGCUGCAUGGUCUGGUUGGGGAAAGCUUUUGCGGUGUGGGAUGGGCCCGCGGCCUAUCAGCUUGUUGGUGAGGUUACGGCUCACCAAGGCGACGACGGGUAGCCGGCCUGAGAGGGUGACCGGCCACACUGGGACUGAGAUACGGCCCAGACUCCUACGGGAGGCAGCAGUGGGGAAUAUUGCACAAUGGGCGCAAGCCUGAUGCAGCGACGCCGCGUGAGGGAUGACGGCCUUCGGGUUGUAAACCUCUUUCGCCAGGGACGAAGCGCAAGUGACGGUACCUGGAGAAGAAGGACCGGCCAACUACGUGCCAGCAGCCGCGGUAAUACGUAGGGUCCGAGCGUUGUCCGGGAUUACUGGGCGUAAAGAGCUCGUAGGUGGUUUGUCGCGUUGUUCGUGAAACUCACAGCU